ACGCUACGAGCUACGACGUAGCUUGAUCCAGUAUAAAGUUAUUGUACGUAGGUAAACAGUAAAUAAAUGUCUAUGGUUUAACCGUUAGCGUAACUUGGAAAAAGUGCGUUCGAAUACAUUUCAUAUAUCGAAUGUUGUUAAACUAAACACAGUUUGUGUUGUUAUUACUAAUACAUGUAGGAACUAAAAACCGAUUGUGUAAAAAGUUGAACUGAAUUAAUGAUUGUACGACACAUGUGUUGAGUGUUGUGUUUUGGACGUGUUUGUAAAUAAACAGUUUCUCUUAUCGUGUGGUUCGAGAGCGCGUCGGAACCAGUAAUACGACCUCUGCGCGCUACAAGUGACAUUUGUAAUUGCACUUUAAAAUAGUUUAAAUUUAAUUUUCAAUCAGUGGAGAGUUCUUACACUAGUUUAUUAUUGGGUUUAAAGUUAUUUUAAAAGUGUGGUAACUAAUUAUUUUCGUUUAAAGUGUGACUAAGUUCAUAGGGACUCUAUGUCCUUGCGAUAACGUAAAUAAGUGUUAAGUCAAAUUUCGUAUCAAUAAAAGUGCAAAGGUAAAUUAAUAGUGUGUUAACUAAUAUAACAGUUUGUUUAAAGUGUGUCAAAGUUUUCGCCUACAGUUAUUACGAUAUCCUUCGGUUAAUUAGUGAAACUUUACUGUUUACCUUUUUCCUUCGACUAAUAGGCCUCCAAGUAAAAAGUGAAUAGACAAAAGACGUAUCGUAGUUAGGCUAUUCGCUUAAAAUCAGGCGUGAUUGCAUCUAACCGCUAGCCUAUUUAAAUAGUGGAUAUUCAGUGAGAUAGGAAAGUAUUGUGCUACAGUGAUGUCGACGUGUGUGCUUGAGGAGGGUCGUGAUGAAGGCGGCGGCUGCGGGGUUGACUCCAGCGAGGACGAGGUGGUGGAGCGACCCCGCAGGGAGGUGCUGCUGAGUGCGCGCGGCCGGAGGGCGUGCUCCGAGCAAGGGCCGCACCAGGCACAUUAUUUACAACACGGCACGGCUCACCUGUGGGGCUCCAACGGGCGGCGCGGCUGGAGCCGCAAGCGCACGUCGGCGCCGCAGAUGGGCAACACGCAGGGCUCCAUGCCGCGGAUAGCGCUCGUGCUGCGCUCGCGGCGCAGCUGGCCUGU
rnacentral:lncRNA from 1 species